rnacentral:rRNA from 1 species
AACGAACGCUGGCGGCAUGCCUAACACAUGCAAGUCGAACGAGAACUUCGGGUCUAGUGGCGCACGGGUGCGUAACACGUGGGGACCUGCCCUUAGGUUCGGAAUAACUCCCCGAAAGAGGUGCUAAUACCGGUUAAUGUCUUCGGACCAACGAUUUAUCGCCUUUGGAUGGGGCCGCGUUGGAUUCGCUGGUUGGUAGGGUAAAAGCAUACCAAGGGGACGAUCCAUAGCUGGUCUGAGAGGAUGAUCAGCUACACUGGGACUGAGACACGGCCCAGACUGCGACGCGAGGCAGCAGUGGGGAAUAUUGUACACUGGGCGCAAGCGUGAUCCAGCCACGCCGCGUGAGUGAUGAAGCCCUUAGUGUUGUAAAGCUCUUUUUCCCGGGAUGAUAAUGACAGUACCGGGUGAAGAAGCUCCGGCUAACUCCGUG